rnacentral:rRNA from 1 species
GAUGAACGCUGGCGGCGUGCCUAAUACAUGCAAGUCGAGCGAACGGACGAGAAGCUUGCUUCUCUGAUGUUAGCGGCGGACGGGUGAGUAACACGUGGAUAACCUACCUAUAAGACUGGGAUAACUUCGGGAAACCGGAGCUAAUACCGGAUAAUAUUUUGAACCGCAUGGUUCAAAAGUGAAAGACGGUCUUGCUGUCACUUAUAGGUGGAUCCGCGCUGCAUUAGCUAGUUGGUAAGGUAACGGCUUACCAAGGCAACGAUGCAUAGCCGACCUGAGAGGGUGAUCGGCCACACUGGAACUGAGACACGGUCCAGAGUACUACGGGAGGCAGCAGUAGGGAAUCUUCCGCAAUGGGCGAAAGCCUGACGGAGCAACGCCGAGUGAGUGAUGAAGGUCUUCGGAUCGUAAAACUCUGUUAUUAGGGAAGAACAUAUGUGUAAGUAACUGUGCACAUCUUGACGGUACCUAAUCAGAAAGCCACGGCUAACUACGUG